AGACUACGAAGACGAUGAUGAGGGGGGCGAGGACGACGAAGACGAUGAGGUUCAGGUCUUACAAUCCUCCAGAGGGCCACCGGUUCAGUCGGCGGAUGACGACGAGGACGACGACAAUGAGGAUGACGAUGAAGAUGACGAUUGUGAAGGCGGAGACGACGAUGACGAUGGUGAAGGCGGAGACGACGAUGACGAUGACGAGGAUGAAGAAGAGGUAAUAUAUGUCCAAAUUUAUACAAUUUUCCGCAUAUAUGUAAUACCCGGCUAGAGUCCGGCACCGGAAUUCCUGUUGUUUGGUGGAAUCCGGGGUGUCGAAAUUCUAUAAAACAGGUAGAAUUUAUGUUUUACUAAGUGGUGUGAUUUGUAUUGAUGUGUUAAGGUUAAUGGAAGUGAGUUUUGAGUUGAAAUGACCUAAGGCAGAUGAGCCAAGUUCGGCCGCCGAAGGUAAGUUCGGCCGCCGAAAGUGCUCCUUCCGAAGGUAAGUUCGGCCCCCGAAUGUUGCAUGGUUUUGCAUGCGAUUGGGCAGCCGAAACUGAGUUGGCCAGCCAGCUUUUGGGCAUCCUUAGUCAGCAUUUUGGACAGGUGUUAUGUCCAACUUGUUGCCAGAAGCUUGGCCACGUCUCCCAUGAUUUAUUUGCUGAGUUUGAGCAGAUCAUGCAGGAGUUUGCUAGUGUUCAAGAGAUUGUGAGAGUGUUGAAGCAAAAGUUAAGCUUUUGAGAGUUAGUGAGGUUGAAGAAGAGUAGAUCUGUUUUCCUUGGAUUCAGACCGUUCAUCUUCCUGUUUAUAGAGGUAAGGGAAGAUCUGGACCUUGUUAUAUGUUUUCUGAAAGUUUUAUGGGGAUAAAGGAAGGAGAUGCAUGCUUAGGUUAUUAAUGGGAGUUUUAAAGAUUUAGGCAUGUAUACGUGUUUAUGUGUUAUGUUUGUUUUGUUGUUUGGGGUUAUUAGCUAGUUUUGGACCCCUGUGACCAUAUACUUGAGUAUAUGUGUGUUGAAUAGUUGAAGUAUGCAUGUUUUGAGAAGUUGAAGGGAAGAAGGAGAUGGUUUGCCGUUGAAGCUGAGUUCUGGAUGAACUCAGGUUCGGCAGCCGAAGGUUCAUUCGGCCGCCGAACCUCCUGCAUGGUGGCUUGGUUGCCACAGCUUGCCCCCGAGUGUUUUUGCAUGUUCGGCUCUGUUUAGGGGAUUCGGCCGCCGAAGGUGCCGCCGAAGGUGCUUGAGUUUCGUCUCUGGAGAGGACAUUCGGCCGCCGAACCUGCCGCCGAAAGUGUUCUGUUCAGCUUUUCUUUUGUAUGUUUUGCAUGAGUUUUAGAGUAAGAGUAAGGGAAUUCUUGGGUAGAUCAAUAGAGUUAUUGUAAGGUAGUUUGGUCCCUCAUUUAAGUCUUUAUGUGUUUAUACAGACCAGAGGAACCAGAGAGAGCAGCAGUGAGUACUGCUCCAGAGUUUACUGAACCUGCAGAGUCAGUCCAGAGCCAGAGGUGAGUGGAACUAAACUUAGUGCUUUUAAUGACACAAUGGAAUGUUUUAGCAUAUCUCAUGCAUCAUGAUUAUGCAAAGAGGUUGACUGCAUUAGUAUUCACGAAUAUGUUGCAUUGCAUUGUUAAUUGUUGGUGUGAGUAAAUGCUGAAUGAUCCCAUAGUCUCUGAGUUAAGACCAGGAGCCUUUGACUACGCCCUGGCAGGUAUAGUAAAGACCAGGAGCCUUUGACUACGCCCUGGCAAUGGUAAGUACAGAGGUGUUAUACACAUAUACAUAUAUGACAGGAAGACCAGGUGCUCGAUUCUACGCCCUGGCACGGAAGUUACUGAGGCUAUGUGGUGACAGGUUUACUCUUGAUGUGGCUUGUCUGUGUUAUGACGCAUUCCAUAAGAUCAUAUGUUAUGAAUGACUGAUUUUAUUAUUCUACUCACUGGGCUAUAGAGCUCAUCCCACUCCCUUAAUCCCAGUCUUGCAGGAUUCAGUGUACAGUGUACAGAGGGAAAGUCCAGAAGAGGUCAGAAAGAGAAACUGAGACUUGUAAUAGUUUAGAGUGGACAUGUAUUUAUAAAAGAGAUGCAUCAGUUGUAUAUUUAGUUAGAAUUGUGCUUGACUUAGUAAUGUUUUGUGCUGUAAUUUUUUGGUUUGGGUACAUGAUCUGUAUAUGUAUAUGUUUUACAACGUAUGUGCAAAACCAGGCUUAACAGGUAUGAAAUAACCCAUCUAGAGCAAGCUCUAGUCAAGGGUACAGAGUACAGGGUACAGAGAUAGUGCAUGCACAGGUUAAGCCUUGGUACAGAGAAAAGAGUUUUUUUUUAUUAUUAUUUUCAUUAAAAAUGUAUGAUCAUGUAUGAGAUUUACAGGUACACAGAGAGUAGUACAGGCUUGCUACGGGUUCUGGCGGCCUUAAGCCGACCUGAAUCCUAGCGCCGGUGACGGUCCAUUUUGGGGUCGUUACAAUAUACUUCAUUUCUCUCAUCUGGGUUGCGAGUUUCUCUCAUCUGCAAGUUUCUCAUCUGCAUCUGGGUUGCUUGCGAGUUUCUCUCAUCUGCAUCUGGGUUGCGAGUGUUGCGAGUUUCUCUCAUCUGUGGGUUGCGAGUUUCUACUUCU
rnacentral:lncRNA from 1 species